rnacentral:piRNA from 1 species
AGAGCCUGAGCAGAUCCUACCACCC